rnacentral:lncRNA from 1 species
CUCAUAUUCGUCUCCAUUAUGUAACAACCCGGAUAAAUAAUCAAGGCUCUGAUACCACUUGUUAGGACCGAAAAAAGUCAGGUGUCAUGCGGAAGCUAGUAUAACAAACCUUCAACGAUGAUAAAUCAGACAACCAAAGAGAAAAAUACCAAAAGAGACACAAAUAUUUAACGUAGUUCAGUUAAUUGACAUAUGUCCACUUGCAAAGAUGAGCAAUCCACUAUAUAAAAAGAGAGUACAAAAUCGAGAGAACAACCUCACGAAGAGGCAAACACAAGUGACACACUAACACUUGUCCCGUAUAGUUCUCCCUUAAACAAGAUUCUCAAGUCCUAUAUGGCUACAUUGUGAAUGUUACUAAAUGAGAAAGAAGGAUCCUCAAUU